UGGUUAGCUAACAGAGAGUGCCUCACC
rnacentral:piRNA from 1 species